rnacentral:rRNA from 1 species
AUUGAACGCUGGCGGAAUGCUUUACACAUGCAAGUCGAACGAUGAAGCCUAGCUUGCUAGGUCGAUUAGUGGCGAACGGGUGAGUAAUAUAUCGGAACGUAUCCAAUAAUGGGGGAUAACUAGUCGAAAGAUUGGCUAAUACCGCAUACGUCCUACGGGAGAAAGCUGGGGAUCGUAAGACCUGGCGUUAUUGGAGCGGCCGAUAUCUGAUUAGCUAGUUGGUGAGGUAAUGGCUCACCAAGGCGACGAUCAGUAGCUGGUCUGAGAGGACGACCAGCCACACUGGAACUGAGACACGGUCCAGACUCCUACGGGAGGCAGCAGUGGGGAAUUUUGGACAAUGGGCGAAAGCCUGAUCCAGCCAUUCCGCGUGAGUGAAGAAGGCCUUCGGGUUGUAAAGCUCUUUCGCAAGGGAAGAACACUUACUUAAUAACACUAAGUGAGGUUGACGGUACCUUGAUAAGAAGCACCGGCUAACUACGUGCCAGCAGCCGCCGUAAAAC